AGAUUCCUCUUUAUUUUUCUGCAUUCCCAUCAGCCAAAAACGUCCUAAGGGUUUCUUCAAGCUGGCUUUUUCAUAAUUUUUGCACCAAAUCCGGAAAAUUCAAAUACGAAGCAAGAUCGAGGGAAAGAAAAAUUUUGGGAUUAGUAGAUUUUUGGUUACGAACAAGUAUCGAGAGUUAAGAGCUCGGAAGUCGGAUUUGGUCGGAGACACAUCACACUAUCAAUCUCGAGAUCUCGGUACAUAAAGGAACUUUAUUUUGGAAAUCAAUGGCAUGUAUAAGCUAGUAAAUUAGAUGCUAAUGUGAAAUGAAUGUAUGGUUAGCCAUUGGUAUGGCUAACAAAUUUUGGUUUUGGUAUGUGAUGAAAUUAUCUUAUGAAUAUGAUAAAUCUAUCUAAAAAAAAAAA